UGUUGGUUAUAAGACCUCUUCCAAACAAUGCUUGCAAUCCACUUUUGGCCAGAACAAUUGCGCAGAAUCCUUGUGGGAGCAUAAAGGAUGCUGCUGUCAGUGUCUGGCCCCAGCAAGGAAGCUGGACAAGACAUACACAUUACGCGGUCUGCAGCCAGGAUUUUCAACAGAGAUUUUUUUGAUUGAAGCUUUUCACAGUUUGAUUGGAGAGCUGAAUCGAGCUGAAACGACGAGUUGAGUAGACGAUUUGCUUUGGCUGGCAUAGCAUGAAGAAAUUUUCCUUUCAGUUGUAGUUGGAUAGGAUAACGUCGUAGACGUCGUCGUCGCCGUUUCGUGAAUAGUGAUUUUGAGUGCUAUUGAAUGUAUAAGCCCAAAAGCGGAUGUGUGUAAUUUUGCAGUGUAAACUGAAAAAUAUAUAUCAUCAAAAAGUUCAAGCGUGAUUAAGACAACGAAUUCAACAGAAGAAAAACAGAAAAUAAAUCAACAAUAAAA
rnacentral:sRNA from 1 species